ACACAUGCAAGUCGAACGGUAACAGGAAGCAGCUUGCUGCUUUGCUGACGAGUGGCGGACGGGUGAGUAAUGUCUGGGAAACUGCCUGAUGGAGGGGGAUAACUACUGGAAACGGUGGCUAAUACCGCAUAACGUCGCAAGACCAAAGAGGGGGACCUUCGGGCCUCUUGCCAUCAGAUGUGCCCAGAUGGGAUUAGCUUGUUGGUGAGGUAACGGCUCACCAAGGCGACGAUCCCUAGCUGGUCUGAGAGGAUGACCAGCCACACUGGAACUGAGACACGGUCCAGACUCCUACGGGAGGCAGCAGUGGGGAAUAUUGCACAAUGGGCGCAAGCCUGAUGCAGCCAUGCCGCGUGUAUGAAGAAGGCCUUCGGGUUGUAAAGUACUUUCAGCGGGGAGG
rnacentral:rRNA from 1 species